GCCAGGCCUGGUGGCGCAGGCCUGUAAUCCCAGCUACUUGGGAGGCUGAGGCAGGAGAAUCGCUUGAACCUGGGAGGUGGAGGUUGCAGUGAGCCAAGACUGUGCCACUGUACUCCAGCCUGGGCAACAGAGUGAGACUCCGUCUCUA
rnacentral:SRP_RNA from 1 species